UAUAAAUUGUGAUAUAAAAUCCUAAAAUCAAGCAGUCAUUAUUAACAGUUUGUUGUUUGUCAUGAGUCAUGGCCUUACGAAUUUUUACAAAAUAUUGGUGUUUUACUCCAAUAUCAACCACAUGGAGCAGAAUAGCAAGUGUUGGUUAUGCCAAAAAAGUAGCAGCUGGGGGUGCUAAAGGAGCGAGUGCAGCUCGGAAUGUUGACAAAAAGAAACUAGAUCACGAGAAUGAUCCAGAAAAACUUCUAACAUAUUGUUGUGGACUGAAUAUAUACAAAGAGGGAGAGGAUCCUAAACUGAAACAAGAUAGUGAAUAUCCAGACUGGUUAUGGAAGCUCAAUGUUGAACGUGAAAACACACCUCUAGAUGAAUUAGAUAAAGAUUCUUGGACAUAUUGGCGGAGAAUGAGACGAUUGGCGAAUAAAAGAAAAUACAAUCUUGGAUAUGAAGAGAGAAAGUUCAACAGUAAAUGAUUCUUACGAGGAUUUUGGAAUGUGUUUGAUUGUGUAUGUAGAAGAACUGGAAUGUAGAACAAGCCAGGACAUGGUGUUGUAAUGUAGAAGUGAACAUGUACUCAUACCAGUACAUAUAUGCUGUUAUUAGAAAAAGAUAUUUUCUGAACUAUACAAUAUCAAAUUACAUGUACUUAUUUCUCUUUAUUCUAAAAAUAAAUGCAAUGACCGCAUCGUGAAAUGAUGGCCGCAAAACUUGAAUGGUUACUGUCAUUAAACAGUUGUCAAAUUGAUUGGAUAUUAUAUAUUGGAUAUUAAAUGUGAAAUAUGUUCGAUAAAUAUAAUCAAAAUAACAGAGACGUAUGCUUGAGCUUUAUAUCAUUUAUUCUUUCAAAUAACACAUGUACUACAAAAUCAGUUCGAAAUAUUGUUUAACUUUUUUAAUGUCACCCUGUC
rnacentral:misc_RNA from 1 species